UACAACUAUAAUAAAUCUGUAGGAACAAUAUACAGCUUACUCUCCAAGUUUUUUUUCCUGCAUAGAACCUCAUACAUAGUUUUGAUGCCAAAUAUAUUCCUGUAUGCAUUUAGUCUGAAUGUGAACAGUUAGACCUACCAAAUCUCUACUACCAAAGUUUUGCAGACAUGUUACUAUGUGGAAAUAUAUUUUCUUAGCUUCACAUGGCUGUUGUGCAUGAGUAUGUAUGUCAAAAACUUAGAGUGGAAGUAAUUGAUGUACUACAACACUGAUGUGUCUGUUAUGAAUUUUGUUUAUUCUUCAUUGACUUCCUGAAGCUGAUUUGAUUUGUUUAUUUUUCAGAUUUAGUGUUUUUGAGGAGAACCAAAAGUAGCCUUUCCCACUACCAGAGUUUAUCCCUUUUAAAAUAAAACACUAUUACCAUCACUAAUUCAUGAAGGAUUUUGUGCAAGUGAAGUGGCAGUGCAGGGGUACUACAUCAGAACCUUGCAACUGAUAUCUUUUCAUACAUCUCUACGUCCACAAAUUGUUUGCUAUGAAUUAUGUUAAUAUGGGCGGUUGUCUUCCAACUUGAUCUGAGAGAGGGAAAUAAACAUUGAAAACUAUUAUCUUGCUUUGUACCGAAGUACAAGAUCAGGUGCUUUCUCAAAUUUUUAUUGUCCUUGUAUGUCUUAGUUUUCAUCUCAUAGCAACAUGUCUGUCGAAUGUGCGGUCAUAUGCGGUACAUUGUUAUUGCUUCUCUCAUCCUAGAUAUUAAGGACAAUCUUCGCAGCUAAAAUCACAAUGGUGGAAGUCGGUAAUACAUGUGCUCACCUGCAUUAAAUCCUAACAUGCAAAUUUAAGAAGGACCGCCGGAAUGCAAGUGAUAUAAAACCAAUUCCUAAAAUUUCUUCACAAGUUUUACUCUUCAGUAAUCAUGUAUGGCAAGCGGGUCAUUUGCGAGAGCGCAAAACAGUCAAUGUAUUUCUUCCUAGGAUUGAUGUAGUACGAUUGCGUUGAUGAUUUUUUAAAAGAUUUGUCUGUAUGAUUUUUCACAAAUUGGUUUGGAUAUUUCUGUCAAGUUAGGUUUCACACAUUAUGUGUGUGUGGUAAGUUAUUUUGCAAUAUUCGUUCAAAGUGUCUUCGGCUCAGUAAUUUUGACUCACCAAGCAGGUGUUUAGUACUCCUUUCUACCAGGAUUCUAUAUAGUGUGUCAGUUUAUUUUGGUUCUGGCUGAUGUUAGCAUGUGGUGUAUAAACCUCCGCAUGAAAAAUGAACAACAUGUGCUAGGAAAUAAGAACGAAUAUGAGAUUCAGUGCCUUGGUUGGAAUUAGGAGUGUUGUAGUAAUGUGUCGGUCUUUGUUCCAAUGUUAGUUUGGCAGAAAAGUUAUUGCGAUGGCCAUCAGCAAUUUGAAGUCCUCAUUGUCCGUGUCUGCCUCCAUUUCGUGCUUCAGGUCUACUACAUCAGAGUUUCAUGUAACCGCUUCUAAAUCUCAUUUUUGCGGUGGUUUUCCUUGUUAGCAACAGCUUAAGUGUAUGAAAUUGCAAGUUUUCUUUGAGCUAAACUCUGAACAAUCAGAGGUGCAUUGACUUCUAUUAGGAAAAGAAGAGUAUCUAAGAAUGGGAUGACCCAACCACGAAACCAACAAUUUAGUUAUUCGGAAGUUCUUUUAAUCAGGCGAGUUUUUCAGAAAAAAGAGGACUU